GUACCGCAAGCCGAAGUGAAAAGUAAAGCAACAAUAGUACUCUCGUCUACUGUUAUACUCUAACGUAACCAUGUGUGGACGCCGCCUACGAGAUCUAUGACUUCGAGUCUAUAUGAAUUUGCUGAUUCGCUGAUAUUCGCAGACGAGAUCUAUGACGUCUAGUCUGUAUCAACCAUUUAUUGCAGAUCGUAAUCACGCAAAUUGUCGACGAUGCUGGUGAGGCAGAUACCUUGAGCGUAUUAGUGUGCUGACUAUUACCCGAUAAGCGAAAUACACUCGGGCUUCGUGGAGCGCAACUCCGGAGUAUCUUCUAGAGCGCCCUUGCCCCUUCCUUGCUGUCGUUACCCAUAACUGUUAGCUGGAGACAUUUUUAUAUCGGUAUCGUAUGACAAACUAGUGUCAAAGUGUUUCCUGCACCCCUUACCGUGGAGAUGUGCGCCAGUGAAGUGCGACGAGAAGGUUAGAGCGGGGGAAGAUUAUGCUUUCUCCCUCAGUACCGCAAGCCGAAGUGAAAAGUAAAGCAACAAUAGUACUCUCGUCUACUGUUAUACUCUAACGUAACCAUGUGUGGACGCCGCCUACGAGAUCUAUGACUUCGAGUCUAUAUGAAUUUGCUGAUUCGCUGAUAUUCGCAGACGAGAUCUAUGACGUCUAGUCUGUAUCAACCAUUUAUUGCAGAUCGUAAUCACGCAAAUUGUCGACGAUGCUGGUGAGGCAGAUACCUUGAGCGUAUUAGUGUGCUGACUAUUACCCGAUAAGCGAAAUACACUCGGGCUUCGUGGAGCGCAACUCCGGAGUAUCUUCUAGAGCGCCCUUGCCCCUUCCUUGCUGUCGUUACCCAUAACUGUUAGCUGGAGACAUUUUUAUAUCGGUAUCGUAUGACAAACUAGUGUCAAAGUGUUUCCUGCACCCCUUACCGUGGAGAUGUGCGCCAGUGAAGUGCGACGAGAAGGUUAGAGCGGGGGAAGAUUAUGCUUUCUCCCUCAGUACCGCAAGCCGAAGUGAAAAGUAAAGCAACAAUAGUACUCUCGUCUACUGUUAUACUCUAACGUAACCAUGUGUGGACGCCGCCUACGAGAUCUAUGACUUCGAGUCUAUAUGAAUUUGCUGAUUCGCUGAUAUUCGCAGACGAGAUCUAUGACGUCUAGUCUGUAUCAACCAUUUAUUGCAGAUCGUAAUCACGCAAAUUGUCGACGAUGCUGGUGAGGCAGAUACCUUGAGCGUAUUAGUGUGCUGACUAUUACCCGAUAAGCGAAAUACACUCGGGCUUCGUGGAGCGCAACUCCGGAGUAUCUUCUAGAGCGCCCUUGCCCCUUCCUUGCUGUCGUUACCCAUAACUGUUAGCUGGAGACAUUUUUAUAUCGGUAUCGUAUGACAAACUAGUGUCAAAGUGUUUCCUGCACCCCUUACCGUGGAGAUGUGCGCCAGUGAAGUGCGACGAGAAGGUUAGAGCGGGGGAAGAUUAUGCUUUCUCCCUCAGUACCGCAAGCCGAAGUGAAAAGUAAAGCAACAAUAGUACUCUCGUCUACUGUUAUACUCUAACGUAACCAUGUGUGGACGCCGCCUACGAGAUCUAUGACUUCGAGUCUAUAUGAAUUUGCUGAUUCGCUGAUAUUCGCAGACGAGAUCUAUGACGUCUAGUCUGUAUCAACCAUUUAUUGCAGAUCGUAAUCACGCAAAUUGUCGACGAUGCUGGUGAGGCAGGUAGGUGGUUUGUGCAAUUCAAAUAUUAUACCUUUCCACAUUGGCUGCACGUAGCAUUAUGCAGUGAUAGCAUUGGCAACGUUCAUUUAGAACGUUAAUGUUUUUUUUGCCUGUUUGCAGAUGAAGUCCAGCAUUCUACAACAAUAACAAAAAGUUUGCAACUUAAUUAUUGUAAGUCUUUGACAGUGGCAAAGACCAGUCCCCAGAGACAAAGACCCCUGGCAAAGACCAACUCGGAGGGGUUUGUAGAUUUAGCAAUGCAGCUUUGCUAAAAAAGCGUACAAUAUUGAUGAUCCUGAUACUGAUCCUAUCGCGUCAAAAACGCGAAAAACAAACAAUAGAAAAAUAGCAAAAGGAACAGAAAGGAAAAACGACCAAUAGUUGCAUUGUUCGAUAGCAAUUUGAUGUAAAGUAGAUGGACAAGAAGAACUACAUAGUCAAAUCACGCCAACAAUAGGCUUAGUGCACACCAUAAAGUAAAUAUCUGUUUUAGAAGUAAGAUUCGGUACUACAGCGUAGGCUGUUCAACCAAUUCCGAGCAUGUUUACAAUAUUUUUAUUCUUAUACCAAUUCGCACAGUAUGCGGCUUGUUCUGAGAUAUGCAUGUUUUGCAGGGAGGGGCUGAGGACUUUAAAAAUACUGUUCUGUUAGGUACCUUGUUAGCACACAUGCUUUCAAUGAUAGAUACUUUCACUCCAGUACCGAGUGUAUUAUUCCGUUUUAAUAUGCGCUAGAAGUACAAACAAACCCUUCUUUUAGCGACAUGUGUGAAAUAUUUUCUUCUAUUUUGCUGCUGAUGCUGUUUUUGCGGCGCUCUUUUCGGCAUAUCCCGUUACAUAAUGUUAAGCACAGUCCAGUAGACCGGAGACCUUUGCCUUCUUUAGUGGACUCACUCACAUUAUAGACUCACUAGGUCGUACUAGAAUAGUCAUGGGGCAUGUUUUAUUUAGACCGCCUUUCAAAUUUCACAGUACGUCUACUUGUUUCAAUAACGAGAAACGCGUCAACGGACACUAAAGAGUCUCUUGGACGUUUUAAUAAGGGUUGUUGGAAGGUGUUGUACGGUUUCCAAAAGUCGUGUUUAUCAUUUUAAUUAAGAAUGGCAACUCGUUCAUGCAGUUACUGUUAGAAUGUGUGUCUGGGACAAAUAUCAACCACUCAUAAUAAGUUUUCCCAAGUUUUGUAUCUAUAUUGGCUAACCUAGCCGUGUUUGUUCUAUUGCACAUUUCCUGUUCAGGUGCUUUCCUGGGAACAUAGGAAAUGUAUCAAGUGAAACUAUGUUAUUAAGCUUUAGAUAAUCUGGUCGAAGUCUUUAUUUAGUUUGAAUAUUAUUAUUCUUUUGAACUAGCAAAAAGUAUUGCAUGGUGAAAUCGUAUUGUAUAUGACUAUUGUUCGGAUUUGUCCUUCAUGCCACGCCAUAGCUCGUCUUCUUUCUUAGCGAUCUCUGUCACUGGUAUAAAUCACUUGUUCCAGUGUGGAGUUUGUCUCAUUGUCCUGAUAUUUGAGUAUUGCAUCGCUAAGUUUUGUACACGCACUAGCAGUUG